GGGUGUGUGGUGGAAUUGGCAGACACAGAGGACUUAAAAUCCUCCGGCAUUGCGUCCGUGCGGGUUCGACUCCCGCUAUGCCCACCA
rnacentral:tRNA from 1 species